rnacentral:lncRNA from 1 species
ACCACUUCUCUUCCUACCGGCAGUACUUCCUCAGGCACCUCCUCUCUUUCCACCACUGCUCACUAUAAUAAAUCCUUGUCGUCCUUUUGGAUUGUUGAUACUGGAGCAAGUAGUCAUAUAUGUUGUUCUGCUACUCUGUUUGAUACCUUGUUAGAUGCUUCACAUAUUUCUAUUAUUCUGCUUGAUGGAUCCGAUACUAUAGCUCGUCAAUUUGGUACAAUUAUCCUUCCUUGUAGUAUAACUUUGCACAAUAUUCUCUAUAUUUUAAGUUUUUCUUUUGACCUUCUAUUUGUAAGCAGCCUCACCAAAAAUUCUCCUGUCAGUACUUUGUUUACCUCUACUCAGUGCCAUAUUCAAGACCAACAAUCUCAGAUGACAAUUGGUUUACCGAAACUCCAUAAAGGUCUAUACCUUCUUCCUACUUCCCUAUCCACUAUUAUGCCUCCUUCUUCUUUCUCUCAUAUAGCAGCAUCUCAACUGAACUUGAACCCCAUUUUAUUAAUCUUUGACAUUGCAGAUUAGGUCAUCCUCCUUACGGUAUCUACAGCUUGUUCAUCAUUCACAUCCAUCCAUUUCACAUUCUUCUUCCACACAUUGUGUCACCUAUCAUCUUGCCGAACAAAAAGCUUUACCUUUUCAGCAUAGUAGUUCUAGAGCUUCUGUACUUUAUGAAUUUGGGAUCCUCUUUGUGCUCCUAUCUCAGAUGACGAUUGGUUUAUUUCCUUAUUGUUCUAGAUGAUCAUACUCGUUGUGUAUGGGUCUUUCUUAUGAAAAAUAAAGGGGAAACACAAGGCUUAAUUCAAUCUUUCUUUUCUAUGGUUCACAACCAAUUCUCUCUCACUGUUAAAAACAUCAGAACAUACCAGGGUCUUGAAUUUAAUAUGAUCAAUUUCUUUGCU